CAGCCCAGAAGCAAACCUCCACACCGCGUGCACAUUUUGCUUCAGCAGACCGAAGUGCCGGUGGCUGGUUGCUCUCUUGAGCCAGGUAUUUGUCUAACCCCGUGACACCAGGAAAACUGAUUUCUUGGUACAAACGUUUCCCAGAGAUGUGUAUGGUCACAGCCAGCGUCCAGAAUAUCCUCACUCCAGGUUCACUGAAGAAUCCCGGGGACUCAGCAUGGAAGCCGGGGACCCCAGAGCCGCUGGGGAAGCUGCACGGUGAGCUCACUGCAGCACCACGGUGUGCAAGAGCUGGAAGGGAGACGCCCCACUCGCAGGGCAGGACACAGCCUGCUGUUAGGACUCGGCUGCCACCUGUUUUUGGAGUGGGUGCUGGCAGCUGGUGGAAUCGGGAGUUUAAAAACGUGGCUUCUGCAAGGGGUGCCUCCAUCCGAAACCAUGGGGAGAUGAGAAACACCUUCAGCGCCCGAAGGCUUUGCAGCAGCGCUGACUGAUCAAAUAAAAAUAUGUGAAUCAUAAAUCAAG
ensembl:lncRNA